CCUACGGGAGGCAGCAGUGAGUAAUAUUGGUCAAUGGGCGGAGGCCUGAACCAGCCAAGUAGCGUGCGGGAUGAAGGCCCUACGGGUCGUAAACCGCUUUUGCACGGGGAUAACACCCUCCACUUGUGGAGGUCUGCAGGUACCGUGCGAAUAAGGGCCGGCUAAUUCCGUGCCAGCAGCCGCGGUAAUACGGAAGGCCCGAGCGUUAUCCGGAUUCAUUGGGCUUAAAGGGAGCGUAGGCGGGCGUUCAAGUCAGCUGUAAAAUCGCGCGGCUCAACCGCGCCCCGCAGUUGAAACUGGACGCAUUGAGUUCACAACAGGCAGGCGGAAUUCGUGGUGUAGCGGUGAAAUGCAUAGAUAUCACGAGGAACCCCGAUUGCGAAGGCAGCCUGCCGGGGUGCGACUGACGCUGAGGCUCGAAGGUGCGGGUAUCAAACAGGAUUAGAUACCCCUGUAGUC
rnacentral:rRNA from 1 species